AGAGUUUGAUCCUGGCUCAGAUUGAACGCUGGCGGCAGGCCUAACACAUGCAAGUCGAACGGUAACAGGAAGCAGCUUGCUGCUUCGCUGACGAGUGGCGGACGGGUGAGUAAUGUCUGGGAAACUGCCUAAUGGAGGGGGAUAACUACUGGAAACGGUAGCUAAUACCGCAUAACGUCGCAAGACCAAAGAGGGGGACCUUAGGGCCUCUUGCCAUCGGAUGUGCCCAGAUGGGAUUAGCUAGUAGGUGGGGUAACGGCUCACCUAGGCGACGAUCCCUAGCUGGUCUGAGAGGAUGACCAGCCACACUGGAACUGAGACACGGUCCAGACUCCUACGGGAGGCAGCAGUGGGGAAUAUUGCACAAUGGGCGCAAGCCUGAUGCAGCCAUGCCGCGUGUAUGAAGAAGGCCUUCGGGUUGUAAAGUACUUUCAGCGGGGAGGAAGGGAGUAAAGUUAAU
rnacentral:rRNA from 1 species